GGAUGAACGCUGGCGGCGUGCCUAACACAUGCAAGUCGAGCGAGGACUUCGGUCCUAGCGGCGGACGGGUGAGUAACGCGUGGGUAAUCUGCCUCAUACACACGGAUAACGUACCGAAAGGUACGCUAAUACGAGAUAAAGUUAAGAAAUGGCAUCAUUUCUUAAUCAAAGAAUUUCGGUAUGAGAUGAGCCCGCGUCCCAUUAGCUAGUUGGUAAGGUAAAAGCUUACCAAGGCGACGAUGGGUAGCCGACCUGAGAGGGUGAUCGGCCACACUGGAACUGAGACACGGUCCAGACUCCUACGGGAGGCAGCAGUGGGGAAUAUUGCACAAUGGGCGAAAGCCUGAUGCAGCAACGCCGCGUGAGCGAUGAAGGUCUUCGGAUCGUAAAGCUCUGUCCUCAAGGAAGAAUUUUGACGGUACUUGAGGAGGAAGCCCCGGCUAACUACG
rnacentral:rRNA from 1 species